rnacentral:rRNA from 1 species
UACGGAGGGUGCAAGCGUUAAUCGGAAUUACUGGGCGUAAAGCGCACGCAGGUGGCUGAGUCAGUCGAUUGUGAAAGCCCUGGGCUUAACCUGGGAAUUGCAGUCGAUACUACUCAGCUAGAGUAUGGGAGAGGGCAGUGGAAUUCCCGGUGUAGCGGUGAAAUGCGUAGAUAUCAGGAGGAACACCGGUGGCGAAGGCGGGUCUCUGGGCCGAUACUGACGCUGAGGAGCGAAAGCGUGGGGAGCGAACAGG